CCUACGGGUGGCAGCAGUGAGGAAUAUUGGUCAAUGGGCGCGAGCCUGAACCAGCCAAGUAGCGUGAAGGAUGACUGCCCUAUGGGUUGUAAACUUCUUUUAUAUAGGAAUAAAGUGAGCCACGUGUGGCUUUUUGUAUGUACCAUAUGAAUAAGGAUCGGCUAACUCCGGGCCAGCAGCCGCGGUAAUACGGAGGAUCCGAGGGUUAUCCGGCUUUAUUGGGUUUAAAGGGAGCGUAGGGGGGUUGUUAAGUCAGUUGUGAAAGUUUGCGGCCCAACCGUAAAAUUGCCAUUGAUACUGGCAGUCUUGAGUACAGUUGAGGUAGGCGGAAUUCGUGGUGUAGCGGUGAAAUGCUUAGAUAUCACGAAGAACUCCGAUUGCGAAGGCAGCUUACUAACCUGCCACUGACAUUGAUGCUCGAAAGUGUGGGUAUCAAACAGGAUUAGAUACCCUGGUAGUC
rnacentral:rRNA from 1 species